rnacentral:tRNA from 1 species
GCCUGGAUGGCUCAGUCGGUUGAGCAUCCGACUUCAGCUCAGGUCAUGAUCUCACGGUUUGUGGGUUCGAGCCCCGCGUCGGGCU